rnacentral:rRNA from 1 species
UACAGAGGGUGCAAGCGUUAAUCGGAAUUACUGGGCGUAAAGCGUGCGUAGACGGUUAUGUAAGUCAGGUGUGAAAGCCCCGGGCUCAACCUGGGAAUUGCAUUUGAGACUGCAUAGCUAGGGUGCGGAAGAGGGAAGCGGAAUUUCCGGUGUAGCGGUGAAAUGCGUAGAUAUCGGAAGGAACGUCAGUGGCGAAAGCGGCUUCCUGGUCCAGCACCGACGUUCAGGCACGAAAGCGUGGGGAGCAAACAGG